GACGUAGGGGGCGAGCGUUGUCCGGAUUUAUUGGGCGUAAAGCGUGCGUAGGCGGCUGCGCAAGUCGGUUGUGAAACCCCGGGGCUCAACCCCGGAACUGCAUCCGAUACUGCGUGGCUAGAGGUAGGUAGGGGAGAUCGGAAUUCCUGGUGUAGCGGUGAAAUGCGCAGAUAUCAGGAGGAACACCGGUGGCGAAGGCGGCUCACUGGACUGGUACUGACGCUGAUGCGCGAAAGCGUGGGGAGCAAACAGG
rnacentral:rRNA from 1 species